rnacentral:rRNA from 1 species
GAUGAACGCUGGCGGCGUGCUUAAUACAUGCAAGUCGAGCGAACAGAUGAGGAGCUUGUUCCUUUGACGUUAGCGGCGGACGGGUGAGAAACACGUGUAUAACCUCCUUAUAAGACUGGGAUAACUACGGGACACCGGAGCUAAUACCGGAUAAGAUAUUGAACCGUAUGGUUCAUUAGUGAAAGACGGUUUUGCUGUCACUUAUAGAUGGAUCCGCGCCGCAUUAGCUAGUUGGUGAGGUAACGGCUUACCAAGGCGACGAUGCGUAGCCGACCUGAGAGGGUGAUCGGCCACACUGGAACUGAGACACGGUCCAGACUCCUACGGGAGGCAGCAGUAGGGAAUCUUCCGCAAUGGGCGAAAGCCUGACGGAGCAACGCCGCGUGAGUGAUGAAGGUCUUCGGAUCGUAAAACUCUGUUAUUAGGGAAGAACAAAUGUGUAAGUAACUAUGCACGUCUUGACGGUACCUAAUCAGAAAGCCACGGUUAACUACGUG